GGGCCGGUAGCUCAGUUGGUAGAGCCUCCAUCUACAACACAAUGGUCCUAGGUUCAACGCCUAGCCAGUGCA